rnacentral:rRNA from 1 species
AGGAAUAUUGGUCAAUGGGCGAGAGCCUGAACCAGCCAAGUAGCGUGCAGGAUGACGGCCCUAUGGGUUGUAAACUGCUUUUAUAAGGGAAUAAAGUUAGUCUCGUGAGACUUUUUGCAUGUACCUUAUGAAUAAGGACCGGCUAAUUCCGUGCCAGCAGCCGCGGUAAUACGGAAGGUCCGGGCGUUAUCCGGAUUUAUUGGGUUUAAAGGGAGCGUAGGCCGGAGAUUAAGCGUGUUGUGAAAUGUAGACGCUCAACGUCUGCACUGCAGCGCGAACUGGUUUCCUUGAGUACGCACAAAGUGGGCGGAAUUCGUGGUGUAGCGGUGAAAUGCUUAGAUAUCACGAAGAACUCCGAUUGCGAAGGCAGCUCACUGGAGCGCAACUGACGCUGAAGCUCGAAAGUGCGGGUAUCGAACAGGAUUAGAUACCCUGGUAGUCCGCACGGUAAACGAUGGAUGCCCGCUGUUGGUCUGAACAGGUCAGCGGCCAAGCGAAAGCAUUAAGCAUCCCACCUGGGGAGUACGCCGGCAACGGUGAAACUCAAAGGAAUUGACGGGGGCCCGCACAAGCGGAGGAACAUGUGGUUUAAUUCGAUGAUACGCGAGGAACCUUACCCGGGCUUGAAUUGCAGAGGAAGGAUUUGGAGACAAUGACGCCCUUCGGGGUCUCUGUGAAGGUGCUGCAUGGUUGUCGUCAGCUCGUGCCGUGAGGUGUCGGCUUAAGUGCCAUAACGAGCGCAACCCCUCUCCUUAGUUGCCAUCAGGUCAUGCUGGGCACUCUGGGGACACUGCCACCGUAAGGUGUGAGGAAGGUGGGGAUGACGUCAAAUCAGCACGGCCCUUACGUCCGGGGCUACACACGUGUUACAAUGGCAGGUACAGAGAGACGGUCCCUUGCAAAAGGGAUCAAAUCCUCAAAGCCUGUCUCAGUUCGGACUGGGGUCUGCAACCCGACCCCACGAAGCUGGAUUCGCUAGUAAUCGCGCAUCAGCCAUGGCGCGGUGAAUACGUUCCCGGGCCUUGUACACAC